AACCGGCCCUCUCCUUCCCUCCCUCCCCAAUAUAAAUUCUAUAUAUCGCAUGACGAAAACUCUCUCAACGCGUUCCCGGCGAUUAGCAUAGCAAAGAAGAAACCUACCCGCUACGACAAAAAUUAACUCCUUCAAAGCCAGUUGAAAAAUAUUAAGGAAAUCCAUCGGGAAUUCUUGGUAUUAAACAUUGAGAUCGCUCUGUGAUGCGAUCAAUGGUGUUUUCCGGUGAGAGAGGGAUGGCGAUGGCACCCGAGAGAUCAAAACCUCUUCACAAUUUCAACCUUCCUUGUUUGAAGUGGGGCAAUCGGAGAUAUCUCAGGUGUAUGAAACUUGACGAUGCUUCCACCGCCACCGACUCUUCCACCGCCCCCCCUGCUGAUCACAACCAGCAUUGUCGUCGCCGUGUCCUUCAAAGACGCCGAUCUCCCCCCUCUAAGUUUGACAGUUUGAUGGUUGGUGGAAUGCGGCGGCGCGAAUCGGAGUCAUCUCCCAGCAGCAAGAACACCGAUUACGCUAGGGAGCAGCGGUUGAGGAUAUCUAAGGGGGAGGCGGCGGCGGGGAUCGAGGCAGUUAGGGAGAAGAUCAUUAAGGAUCUUAAAACGGCGGCGGAUGAGAUCAAAGAUGCAAUUUUUAGAGACGAAGUGUCCGACGACGAUGACGUGGAUGACGAUGAGGAGGAAUUUGAAGAGCCUAAACAUAAGCACAAAGUUAAAGAUAAAGAGAGGGAGGAAUCGCCUGCAGUAGAGGUGGAGGCGAGGCCCUGGAAUCUGAGGACAAGGCGUGCCGCGUGUAAGGCUCCGGUUGACGGAGAAGUAACUAACAACAAUUACAGUUCUCCGAUGAGGAAUGAGGUGUUUCAGUCAUCCAGAGUAAGAGACAAGGGACCACCGGCGGCAUCGGCGGCGGCCUCCGACAAGAAAAGGUCACGACCGAAAUUUUCGGUGCCGCUAUCGAAGAAAGAGAUCGAGGAGGAUUUCAUGGUGAUGGCCGGGCACCGCCCACCGAGAAGGCCAAAGAAACGGGCACGCAAUGUUCAGAAGCAAUUGGAUUACUUGUUUCCCGGAUUGUGGCUGACGGAGGUAACGGCGGAUGCCUACAAGGUUCCGGAGUUGGCUGAAAACGGCAAGAGGUAGUAAAGAGGGAGUUUCAACUUGCAACAAGCUCGAUUGGAGGCUUCUGUUUACCGACUGAUGGUAAUGAAAUAACAUACGAGUGCAUUCAUUGGUGUCUCUCACAAUAAUGCCAGUAUUAUUGACACAAGGAGCUUUUUGAAACCCUCGCACCCACCGACCUAAACGAUGUAUUGUUGUUGGAUUAAAAGCAGUAGUGUAACAGAGAAGAUCACUAGAUAUAAGAUUUUGGCACGGAGUUGCUGAGGCAGAGAUGCAAGGGAGCCCGCAGUCUCUAUGAUUCAACAAAACCAGCCAAAUUUGAUCACGGAAACGCGUCUGUAGGAGGCCCCAACUCCCUUCGCAUUUGCAAGUCUUGUAUCUAUAUUUCCGGAUGAGGAGGAUUUUGUAGAGUCGCAGGCCUUGAUCGCUUAUGUCUAUAGAAUGUCCGCGAGAAAUAAGGUCCUCUUGGCUC